rnacentral:rRNA from 1 species
GACGAACGCUGGCGGCGUGCCUAAUACAUGCAAGUAGAACGCACAGUUUAUACCGUAGCUUGCUACACCAUACACUGUGAGUUGCGAACGGGUGAGUAACGCGUAGGUAACCUGCCUGGUAGCGGGGGAUAACUAUUGGAAACGAUAGCUAAUACCGCAUAAUAUUGAUUAUUGCAUGAUAAUUGAUUGAAAGAUGCUAUUGCAUCACUACCACAUGGACCUGCGUUGUAUUAGCUAGUAGGUGAGGUAACGGCUCACCUAUGCGACGAUACAUAGCCGACCUGAGAGGGUGAUCGGCCACCAUGGGAAUGAGACACGGCCCAGACUCCUACGGGAGGCAGCCGUAGGGAAUCUUCGGCAAUGGAGGAAAGUCUGACCGAGCAAAGCCGCGUGAGCGAAGAAGGUUUUCGGAUCGGAAAGAUCUGUUGUAAGAGAAGAACGGGUGUGAGAGUGGAAAGUUCACACUGUGACGGUAUCUUACCAGAAAGGGACGGCUAACUACGUG